UGGGGAAUUUUGGACAAUGGGGGAAACCCUGAUCCAGCGACGCCGCGUGUGUGAAGAAGGCCUGCGGGUUGUAAAGCACUUUUAGUGGGGAUGAAAAGUCCAGGGCUAACACCUCUGGAUCUUGACCUAACCCACAGAAAAAGCACCGGCUAACUCUGUGCCGGCAGCCGCGGUAAUACGGGGGGAGCAAGCGUUGUUCGGAUUUACUGGGCGUAAAGGGCGCGUAGGCGGCCACCGCAAGUCGACUGUGAAAUCUCCGGGCUUAACCCGGAAAGGUCAGCCGAUACUGCGGGGCUAGAGUGCAGAAGGGGCAACUGGAAUUCUCGGUGUAGCGGUGAAAUGCGUAGAUAUCGAGAGGAACACCUGCGGCGAAGGCGGGUUGCUGGGCUGACACUGACGCUGAGGCGCGAAAGCUAGGGGAGCGAAC
rnacentral:rRNA from 1 species